rnacentral:rRNA from 1 species
UACGAAGGGGGCUAGCGUUGCUCGGAAUUACUGGGCGUAAAGGGAGCGUAGGCGGAUAGUUAAGUCAGAGGUGAAAGCCCAGGGCUCAACCUUGGAAUUGCCUUUGAUACUGGCUAUCUUGAGUAUGGGAGAGGUAAGCGGAACUCCGAGUGUAGAGGUGAAAUUCGUAGAUAUUCGGAAGAACACCAGUGGCGAAGGCGGCUUACUGGCCCAUUACUGACGCUGAGGCUCGAAAGCGUGGGGGAGCAAAC